CAUGUUUUACAAUCUUUUCUAAAAUUUUAAAAUUUGUUUAAUUAACACCUAAAAUAACUUUUCUCAUUUGAUUUUAACCCCAAAGAUGGAAUUAUAGAAAAUUAUUAUUUUUAUACAAAUUGAGGACCACAAUGCUUGACUUUAUUCUAUUACUAUAAUUGGUCCAAGGAAGACGUCAGGUAUGCAAACGGUAGAGGUUAGAAAUAAUACGUGUAUCAAUGCAGGUGGCAUUCGGAAAUACAACACAGCUUAAUAGUUCGAUGCUCUUAUUAGCUCGAAGUCCAAUUAAGGCCACAAUGAUACUCCAAGUAUUCUGCUAUGUACUUCCUACUGUCGUGUUGGAAUACCAAGCAUGACAGCUCGAUUAACGAAUACGCUACACCAUGAUGUUUAACCUAGUUCCAUCAUUUUAUCCUACUUCCACCUAAAAUUGGCAUAAUAUUACUCCAGCAAAAAAUAAUGCUGUCUAAGGAACUUUCACAUAGAUAAAGAUUAUAAAAAAAAAAUAUUACAACGGAAAUAACUACCUGUUGAGAAGGGGUAGCUUGCUGGUUAUCGUAUUUGGCAAGA